GAAGCAUCCGAAGCCGAAUCAAUGGCGAAACAAUCAGGCCUUACUGUCCUCCAGCUCCUCCCUACCUUAGUUAAAGAGGCCCGGUCCUUGGCCCGCUCGCCCAUAUCCAACUACUACGUCGGUGCCGUGGGCCUUGGAUCCUCCGGCCGCAUCUUCUUUGGAGCCAACCUCGAGUUCCCGGGCCUGCCUCUCCACCAAUCCGUUCACGCCGAACAAUUCCUCAUCACCAAUCUCAGUCUCAAUGCUGAACCUGGCCUCAACUACGUGGCCGUCUCCGCCGCUCCCUGUGGCCACUGCCGUCAGUUUUUCCAGGAAAUUCGCAACGCCCCCGAUAUCCAGAUCCUCAUCACAGACGAUAGUAACAGUAAUAAUUGCGGUGGUGUGGCUGAGAAUGGUGAUGCUGAUAAAUAUGAGUCUUUGUCCCACUUUCUACCGCACAGAUUCGGGCCAGAUGACCUUUUGGAUAAGAAUGUUGCUUUAGCUUUAGAACCACAUCAUAAUCACUUGUCCUUUCUAAGCGAUUCUAAUAGUAACAUCCCAAAUGGGAUUAAUAGUCGUGUUUGCGAUGAUUUGAAAUAUGAGGCUUUAGAGGCCGCCAACAAAUCACAUGCCCCGUAUAGUAAUUGCCCAUCUGGGGUGGCGUUGAUGGAUUGUGAAGGGAAGGUCUAUAGAGGGUCGUACAUGGAGUCUGCUGCUUAUAAUCCAAGCCUGGGGCCUGUACAGGCUGCUCUUGUGGCAUAUUUGGUGGGCGGAAGCGGUGAUGGGUAUGAGAAGAUCGUGGCUGCUGUAUUGGUGGAGAAAGAAGG
rnacentral:misc_RNA from 1 species